rnacentral:rRNA from 1 species
UUAAGCGACUAAGCGUACACGGUGGAUGCCCUGGCAGUCAGAGGCGAUGAAGGACGUGCUAAUCUGCGAUAAGCGCCGGUAAGGUGAUAUGAACCGUUAUAACCGGCGAUUUCCGAAUGGGGAAACCCAGUGUGACUCGUCACACUAUCAUUAACUGAAUCCAUAGGUUAAUGAGGCGAACCGGGGGAACUGAAACAUCUAAGUACCCCGAGGAAAAGAAAUCAACCGAGAUUCCCCCAGUAGCGGCGAGCGAACGGGGAGGAGCCCAGAGCCUGAAUCAGCAUGUGUGUUAGUGGAAGCGUCUGGAAAGGCGCGCGAUACAGGGUGACAGCCCCGUACACAAAAGCGCAUGUGCUGUGAGCUCGAUGAGUAGGGCGGGACACGUGGUAUCCUGUCUGAAUAUGGGGGGACCAUCCUCCAAGGCUAAAUACUCCUGACUGACCGAUAGUGAACCAGUACCGUGAGGGAAAGGCGAAAAGAACCCCGGCGAGGGGAGUGAAAAAGAACCUGAAACCGUGUACGUACAAGCAGUGGGAGCACAGGUUUACCUGUGUGACUGCGUACCUUUUGUAUAAUGGGUCAGCGACUUAUAUUCUGUAGCAAGGUUAACCGAAUAGGGGAGCCGGAGGGAAACCGAGUCUUAACCGGGCGUUAAGUUGCAGGGUAUAGACCCGAAACCCGGUGAUCUAGCCAUGGGCAGGUUGAAGGUUGGGUAACACUAACUGGAGGACCGAACCGACUAAUGUUGAAAAAUUAGCGGAUGACCUGUGGCUGGGGGUGAAAGGCCAAUCAAACCGGGAGAUAGCUGGUUCUCCCCGAAAGCUAUUUAGGUAGCGCCUCGUGAAUUCAUCUCCGGGGGUAGAGCACUGUUUCGGCUAGGGGGCCAUCCCGGCUUACCAACCCGAUGCAAACUGCGAAUACCGGAGAAUGUUACCACGGGAGACACACGGCGGGUGCUAACGUCCGUCGUGAAGAGGGAAACAACCCAGACCGCCAGCUAAGGUCCCAAAGUCAUGGUUAAGUGGGAAACGAUGUGGGAAGGCCCAGACAGCCAGGAUGUUGGCUUAGAAGCAGCCAUCAUUUAAAGAAAGCGUAAUAGCUCACUGGUCGAGUCGGCCUGCGCGGAAGAUGUAACGGGGCUAAACCAUGCACCGAAGCUGCGGCAGCGACACUGUGUGUUGUUGGGUAGGGGAGCGUUCUGUAAGCCUGUGAAGGUGUGUCGUGAGGCAUGCUGGAGGUAUCAGAAGUGCGAAUGCUGACAUAAGUAACGAUAAAGCGGGUGAAAAGCCCGCUCGCCGGAAGACCAAGGGUUCCUGUCCAACGUUAAUCGGGGCAGGGUGAGUCGACCCCUAAGGCGAGGCCGAAAGGCGUAGUCGAUGGGAAACGGGUUAAUAUUCCCGUACUUGGUGUUACUGCGAAGGGGGGACGGAGAAGGCUAUGUUGGCCGGGCGACGGUUGUCCCGGUUUAAGCGUGUAGGCUGGUUUUCCAGGCAAAUCCGGAAAAUCAAGGCUGAGGCGUGAUGACGAGGCACUACGGUGCUGAAGCAACAAAUGCCCUGCUUCCAGGAAAAGCCUCUAAGCAUCAGGUAACAUCAAAUCGUACCCCAAACCGACACAGGUGGUCAGGUAGAGAAUACCAAGGCGCUUGAGAGAACUCGGGUGAAGGAACUAGGCAAAAUGGUGCCGUAACUUCGGGAGAAGGCACGCUGACACGUAGGUGAAGUGAUUUACUCACGGAGCUGAAGUCAGUCGAAGAUACCAGCUGGCUGCAACUGUUUAUUAAAAACACAGCACUGUGCAAACACGAAAGUGGACGUAUACGGUGUGACGCCUGCCCGGUGCCGGAAGGUUAAUUGAUGGGGUCAGCGCAAGCGAAGCUCCUGAUCGAAGCCCCGGUAAACGGCGGCCGUAACUAUAACGGUCCUAAGGUAGCGAAAUUCCUUGUCGGGUAAGUUCCGACCUGCACGAAUGGCGUAAUGAUGGCCAGGCUGUCUCCACCCGAGACUCAGUGAAAUUGAACUCGCUGUGAAGAUGCAGUGUACCCGCGGCAAGACGGAAAGACCCCGUGAACCUUUACUAUAGCUUGACACUGAACAUUGAGCCUUGAUGUGUAGGAUAGGUGGGAGGCUUUGAAGUGUGGACGCCAGUCUGCAUGGAGCCGACCUUGAAAUACCACCCUUUAAUGUUUGAUGUUCUAACGUGGACCCGUAAUCCGGGUUGCGGACAGUGUCUGGUGGGUAGUUUGACUGGGGCGGUCUCCUCCUAAAGAGUAACGGAGGAGCACGAAGGUUGGCUAAUCCUGGUCGGACAUCAGGAGGUUAGUGCAAUGGCAUAAGCCAGCUUGACUGCGAGCGUGACGGCGCGAGCAGGUGCGAAAGCAGGUCAUAGUGAUCCGGUGGUUCUGAAUGGAAGGGCCAUCGCUCAACGGAUAAAAGGUACUCCGGGGAUAACAGGCUGAUACCGCCCAAGAGUUCAUAUCGACGGCGGUGUUUGGCACCUCGAUGUCGGCUCAUCACAUCCUGGGGCUGAAGUAGGUCCCAAGGGUAUGGCUGUUCGCCAUUUAAAGUGGUACGCGAGCUGGGUUUAGAACGUCGUGAGACAGUUCGGUCCCUAUCUGCCGUGGGCGCUGGAGAACUGAGGGGGGCUGCUCCUAGUACGAGAGGACCGGAGUGGACGCAUCACUGGUGUUCGGGUUGUCAUGCCAAUGGCACUGCCCGGUAGCUAAAUGCGGAAGAGAUAAGUGCUGAAAGCAUCUAAGCACGAAACUUGCCCCGAGAUGAGUUCUCCCUGAGACUUAGAGUCUCCUGAAGGAACGUUGAAGACGACGACGUUGAUAGGCCGGGUGUGUAAGCGCAGCGAUGCGUUGAGCUAACCGGUACUAAUGAACCGUGAGGCUUAACCUU